rnacentral:rRNA from 1 species
AGAGUUUGAUCAUGGCUCAGGAUGAACGCUAGCGACAGGCUUAACACAUGCAAGUCGAGGGGCAUCAUGAGGUAGCAAUACCUUGAUGGCGACCGGCGCACGGGUGAGUAACGCGUAUCCAACCUGCCCACCACUUGGGGAUAACCUUGCGAAAGUAAGACUAAUACCCAAUGACGUCUCUAGAAGACAUCUGAAAGAGAUUAAAGAUUUAUCGGUGAUGGAUGGGGAUGCGUCUGAUUAGCUUGUUGGCGGGGUAACGGCCACAAGGCGACGAUCAGUAGGGGUUCUGAGAGGAAGGUCCCCCACAUUGGAACUGAGACACGGUCCAAACUCCUACGGGAGGCA